CAAAUACACAGACAAACAAGGGUUCUUCCAUUUUAACCCUAAAUCACACAAAUCAACCAAAUUCAAGAAGGAAAUCAAGUGCAAAUCGAAACCAAGCUGAAUUUAGUGAUCACUCGAGUUAGAGGAUCACAAGGCAAAACGGGUGAAUCUUCGGGCGGCCAAGUCGGAUCGGACGCGCGCUUGAAGUAUAAGCUAUAAGGUGAACGUUAUGAGUCUCCGGAUGACGAUCAAGCGAAGAACAAGAACCGAACACACAACUAAAUGAAGCUUCCGCAUUAAUCUCAUUUUGUUUUAUGAAAUGUGAAAUAUGUAAACACUUAUAACAUAGUUUUUGAAUGUUUUAAACAUGUGUGAAUGUUUGGAUGAAAAAG